UUACCUACGGGGGGCAGCAGUGGGGAAUAUUGGGCAAUGGGCGCAAGCCUGACCCAGCAACGCCGCGUGAAGGAAGAAGGCUUUCGGGUUGUAAACUUCUUUUGUCAGGGACGAAGCAAGUGACGGUACCUGACGAAUAAGCCCCGGCUAACUACGUGCCAGCAGCCGCGGUAAUACGUAGGGGGCAAGCGUUAUCCGGAUUUACUGGGUGUAAAGGGAGCGUAGACGGCAUGGCAAGUCUGAAGUGAAAGCCCGGGGCUCAACCGCGGGACUGCUUUGGAAACUGUUAAGCUGGAGUGCAGGAG
rnacentral:rRNA from 1 species